rnacentral:rRNA from 1 species
GAUGAACGCUAGCGGGAGGCCUAACACAUGCAAGCCGAGCGGUAGAGUUCCUUCGGGAACUUGAGAGCGGCGUACGGGUGCGUAACACGUGUGCAACCUACCUUUAUCUGGGGGAUAGCCUUUCGAAAGGAAGAUUAAUACCCCAUAAUAUAAUGAUUGGCAUCAAUUAUUAUUGAAAACUCCGGUGGAUAGAGAUGGGCACGCGCAAGAUUAGAUAGUUGGUGAGGUAACGGCUCACCAAGUCAAUGAUCUUUAGGGGUCCUGAGAGGGAGAUCCCCCACACUGGUACUGGGACACGGACCAGACUCCUACGGGAGGCAGCAGUGAGGAAUAUUGGACAAUGGGUGAUAGCCUGAUCCAGCCAUCCCGCGUGAAGGAUGACGGUCCUAUGGAUUGUAAACUUCUUUUGUACAGGGAUAAACCUACUCUCGUGAGGGUAGCUGAAGGUACUGGACGAAUAAGCACCGGCUAACUCCGUG